rnacentral:rRNA from 1 species
UACGGGAGGCAGCGGUGGGGAAUAUUGCACAAUGGGCGCAAGCCUGAUGCAGCCAUGCCGCGUGUAUGAAGAAGGCCUUCGGGUUGUAAAGUACUUUCAGUCGUGAGGAAGGUGUUAAGGUUAAUAACCUUAGCAAUUGACGUUAGCGACAGAAGAAGCACCGGCUAACUCCGUGCCAGCAGCCGCGGUAAUACGGAGGGUGCGAGCGUUAAUCGGAAUUACUGGGCGUAAAGGGCACGCAGGCGGUUAAUUAAGUUGGAUGUGAAAUCCCCGGGCUUAACCUGGGAAUGGCAUUCAAGACUGGUUAGCUAGAGUCUUGUAGAGGGGGUUAGAAUUCCAUGUGUAGCGGUGAAAUGCGUAGAGAUGUGGAGGAAUACCGGUGGCGAAGGCGGCCCCUGGACAAAGACUGACGCUCAUGUGCGAAAGCGUGGGGAGCAAACAGGGAUUAGAUACC